rnacentral:tRNA from 1 species
GGUGGCUCAGCAGUAGAGUGCUUGCCUUGCAUGCAUGAAGCCCUGGGUUCGAUUCCUCAGCACCA